rnacentral:snRNA from 1 species
AGUUUUGCGCAAGUGGCAGUAUCAUAGCCUGUGAGGUUAAUCCCAGGCGCGAUUAUUGCUAGUUGAAAACUUUUCCCAAUACUUUUUGUGGCUCAGAGACUGGUGCCGUCAGAGG